UACGAGGGGUGCAAGCGUUGCUCGGAAUUAUUGGGCGUAAAGGGUAGGUAGGUGGUCUCAUUUGUCUGGGGUGAAAGCCUUGAGCUUAACUCAAGAAGUGCCCCGGAAACGGUGAGACUAGAGUACUGGAGAGGGUCGUGGAAUUCCCGGUGUAGCGGUGAAAUGCGUAGAGAUCGGGAGGAACACCAGAGGCGAAGGCGGCGACCUGGACAGUAACUGACACUCAACUACGAAAGCGUGGGGAGCAAACAGG
rnacentral:rRNA from 1 species